CGGCGGACGGGUGAGUAACACGUGGAUAACCUACCUAUAAGACUGGGAUAACUUCGGGAAACCGGGGCUAAUACCGGAUAAUAUUUUAAACCGCAUGGUUCAAAAGUGAAAGACGGUCUUGCUGUCACUUAUAGAUGGAUCCGCGCUGCAUUAGCUAGUUGGUAAGGUAACGGCUUACCAAGGCAACGAUGCAUAGCCGACCUGAGAGGGUGAUCGGCCACACUGGAACUGAGACACGGUCCAG
rnacentral:rRNA from 1 species